rnacentral:rRNA from 1 species
AGAGUUUGAUCCUGGCUCAGAUUGAACGCUGGCGGAAUGCUUUACACAUGCAAGUCGAACGGCAGCACGGGUGCUUGCACCUGGUGGCGAGUGGCGGACGGGUGAGUAAUGCAUCGGAACGUGCCGUGUAGUGGGGGAUAACGCAUCGAAAGGUGUGCUAAUACCGCAUACGCCCUGAGGGGGAAAGUGGGGGACCGAAAGGCCUCAUGCUAUACGAGCGGCCGAUGUCCGAUUAGCUAGUUGGUGGGGUAAAGGCUCACCAAGGCGACGAUCGGUAGCUGGUCUGAGAGGACGACCAGCCACACUGGGACUGAGACACGGCCCAGACUCCUACGGGAGGCAGCAGUGGGGAAUUUUGGACAAUGGGGGAAACCCUGAUCCAGCCAUUCCGCGUGAGUGAAGAAGGCCUUCGGGUUGUAAAGCUCUUUUGUCAGGGAGGAAAUCCUUAACGUUAAUACCGUUGGGGGAUGACAGUACCUGAAGAAUAAGGACCGGCUAACUACGUGCCAGCAGCCGCGGUAAUACGUAGGGUCCAAGCGUUAAUCGGAAUUACUGGGCGUAAAGCGUGCGCAGGCGGCUGAUUAAGCCAGAUGUGAAAUCCCCGGGCUCAACCUGGGAACUGCGUUUGGAACUGGUCAGCUAGAGUACGUCAGAGGGGGGUAGAAUUCCACGUGUAGCAGUGAAAUGCGUCAGAUGUGGAGGAAUACCCUAUGGCGAAGGCUCCCCCUGUGAUGAUACUGACUUUCAUGCACUAAAGCGUGGUUGAGCAAACAGUGAUUACAUUCCCUGGAAGGCGUGCC